UCUUACGACUAUGAUGACAAUAUUUUUUCCCCGUCUUAUCGAGAUGUGAAGAUAAAAUUGACUUUAAGCCAAUUUUGUCUGAGUCUAGAGC
rfam:Biomphalaria glabrata isolate BB02 linkage group LG8 unlocalized genomic scaffold LG8_random_Scaffold457, whole genome shotgun sequence.